GCCUACGGGGGGCAGCAGUGAGGAAUAUUGGUCAAUGGACGAGAGUCUGAACCAGCCAAGUAGCGUGAGGGAAGAAGGCUUUCGGGUUGUAAACUUCUUUUAAGGGGGAAGAGCAGAAGACGGUACCCCUUGAAUAAGCCACGCCUAACUACGUGCCAGCAGCCGCGGUAAUACGUAGGUGGCAAGCGUUGUCCGGAUUUACUGGGUGUAAAGGGCGUGCAGCCGGAGAGACAAGUCAGAUGUGAAAUCCACGGGCUCAACCCGUGAACUGCAUUUGAAACUGUUUCCCUUGAGUGUCGGAGAGG
rnacentral:rRNA from 1 species